AGAAGAGCAGACGCCAUCGGCCAGCAUGGGAGGAGCUGGGCCAGGCCCAGGCCCCCAGGGGACACCACCCAAUGCCACCGCGUGGUUCUGAAAACCCACCUCACUGCCUGACGGAGUGGCCUGCGGCGGUGACGGUGAGGCCGUCUGGGAGCGUUACUGAAGGCGGGCGAAUCAUCAGAUCAUCAGUGUGCACAGACUCUGACUGUGAUGGCCAAGCUCAGCCUGCCCAGGCAGAAGCAAGGACAGAGACAGGACAAAGGUGGCUUUCUCCCUGGGAGUGACCACAGGUAGACCCCAGGGCUGGCAUGAGUGGGCACUGAGUGGACACCUUUGCCAGGCUCCUUCUGGCUCCCAGGCCUCCAGCUGGGCCCUCUCAGGGGGCAGGCCCAUGGCCUCCCAAAGCUGUGCCCCUCACCCGCGUCCUGCACCCAGGGCUGCCCACACGGCCUGCUUGCCGAGUCCCGCCCACAGCCAUGAGCCUCCUGCAGCCCAGCUCAGUGCCAACCCUCAGCUCCCCAUGGUGGACCACUCACAAGCUGACCUCUAGGCCUGCGGUCAACAGCAUGCACCCCAAACUCUCGAGGAGCUAACAAGGAGCCAGACAGGUGCCCCUCUGUCCUUGUGUGGUGUGCGAGCAGGAGGCCACGCAGGGGCCCAACAUAGGCCAGGCCUGCCCAGGUGGCCUGUCUGUGCUUCACCCUGAGCCAACAUGGAGACGCCACGUCACCACCCUGCAGACCCCUCCAGCCACGCCCACCACAGCUUGCGCCACCUCAACACCUGUGGCUAUGGACCCACUGCCGAGGUCGGAGCCCCCCAUCCCAUCCCCCUAGGGGCCCACCUCUGAGCUAGGCAGCACCAUGAGCCUCUGGAGACACUUCUCAUCUGACCAUCACAGUGGCACCUGCCUGGCAUCGGUGCCCAUGCUGAGAAGGGGGCAGCAGGUCUACUCUCUGCCUGGCAUGGCCAGGGCCCAGGACAUGGAUGCCGUGGAGCCAGCUGGUCAGGCCGCACAUGGAUUCAGCCCAUCACCCACCAGCUGACAGAGAUGGGAGAAGCUUCCCUGGACACAAUGGGAACUGCUCUGAGCUGGUCAGCUCUCCUGGGAGGAGGGCCACUCUGCCCCUCUGCAAUGAGGCUCAGCCAGGGCCCCGGGCCACAUGGCCCCAAGGCUCACGGCGCUUCAGCCAGUUGGCCACCAGCUGGACAGCUCUCAGAGUCCCUGUGGCCACCCACCACAGGGUUGCCCGGCUCCCCACCCACCCCUGCACCUUGGCCCACCCUUCCAGCGGGGGCGGCUGCUUGGUGACCUUGCGGUAACCCGAGUGCCAUCCGUCAGCGGCCGGCCGCCAGGCUCCGGAACACUGCGGCAGCUCAUCUGAAUUCAAAUUACCCUGGGAGCCGGGGCGGGUGCCAGCCAUAACUCAGAGCCCGCGAGGAGGAGCACGGCCCGCCCGCAGAUUGGACAUUACCAUACAUUCCUGGGGCGUCGGACAGCGCUGCUAAUGAAAAUAUCAAUCAAAAACUCA